AGGACGGGGGAUGGCGGACGGAGGCGCGCGUCGGGAGCUGGAGCGGUGUCGGGAGGAGGACGGGGAGGAGGAGCAAGAGAGGCGGAAGAGGGAGACAGCGGCGGCGGAGGAGGAGGCCGUUCCCGCGACCGCCGCUCGCAAUUUCCUCCGCGCCCACCUUCUGUCCCGGCGGCCUCCCGCCUCAGCGUUGUGCCCGUCACAGCCUACCGGUUGCCUGCUGCACAGAGGGGCGGGCGGCAGACGGUGGACGACGUCGCGUGAGAGCGGGCAGUGGGCGUCGGACGGCGAUGCGCGGGGGCGGGCGGCAGCGGCGCGGGAAGAGCGUGGCGAGCAGGUGGUGUUAAUUCCCCGUGAAGAUGACGACGCUCUUGCACCUAGAGAAGAAGACCGGGGAGCAGCAAACGUAGGUGGUCUCUACGAGCUGUACGCGGCGUUGCCGCCAUGCGGAGAAGGAGGAGGGGGCUGGAGUGGGCCUUCUUCUUCAUAUGCUGUAGCUGGACGAGCGGUAUUGGUCAAUGCAGUCCUCCGAGUCGUAGGCGAGCUCGCGGAGCUGCUUCAUCCACUCCAGGACGAAGUGGUCCACGGUGCCGUCGUCGGCCUCGAAUUGCAUGCGGUGGAGGGUGUUCAUGGUGGCCAGCUCGGCGACUUCGCUACCGACGCCGUUGAGCUGCCUGUAUUCCUCGGUCAGCAACUGACCAACGUUGCUUAC
rnacentral:lncRNA from 1 species